AUGAGUGGCUUCCUAGUGCUGAAGAUUGGGACCGAUUAUGUGACUACCAAUGUUUACUUCCCUAAGAUAUGUGAAAUUAAAAUGAAAAUGAGGCAGUGGGAAACUUCUAGCAAUGAGAUUAUCCAAAAAAUGACAAGAAGCAUGACUGAAAAAUUUGAUAAGUAUUGGAGUGACAUUCAAGCUCUAAUGGCUAUAGCUACCCUUCUUGACCCUCGAUACAAGAAGCAAAUGUUGGUAGCUUGCUUUGCCAUGCUCCAUGGAAUUGAGCCAUCUUCUUAUGAAUGCAUUGAAAAAAUUGAUGACAUAGUUGCUAGUUUGCAUUCAUUAUUGGAGGAGUAUGAAGUGGAAAAUGAGGCAUGUACACCAGAUGAUGAAUCUGUGAUGACCACAAUGAAAGCUCCUGCAAUCAUGAGUAUAUUUCAUAACAUUGUAGCUCAGCAAAUGCCUGCAACAGCUAGACUUCAAUGUGAAAUAGAGCAGUACUUGACUGAUGGUUUAGUGCCUUACGUUGAAAAGUUCAAUGUGUUGGAUUGGUGGAAGGUGGCUGGAACCAGGUAUCCGACCUUAAGGAAAGUAGCAAGAGACAUAUUUGCUAUUCACGUAACAACAGUUGCUUCAGAGUCAGCCUUUAGUAUAAGUGGCAGAAAGCUUAAUGACCAUAGAAGCCGACUUACACCUUAUAUGGUGGAGGUUCUAAUGUGCUCGGAAGAUUGGCUUCGAAACAAGUACAUAGGUGACAAAAUAGUGCACUUCAUUAAUAUUUUCUCUUGCUGA
rnacentral:rRNA from 1 species